ACAGCCAUAUCACGUUAAAUCACCAGUAUGAUCACCGAAGUUAAGCAGCAUCGUGCCUGGUCAGUAGCAAGUUGGGUGACUGCUUGGGAAUACCAUGUGCUGGA